ACAUCGCUACAUUUAUGCAACGGGACGAAUUUCUCCAGCACAUCAUAUGCCUGCAGGUUGCAGGCUGGGUUCCAGAAGGCAGAGUCUACCCUAGAUCAGCAUGAGGAGGGGUGUUGCUGGCUUCUUUGGGGGGGAACAGGCUGCAUCUGUCUGAACGGCAGCCUCGGCCUUAAUCUUAACAGAAGGUUCUGGGAAUGUGAUAAACCACUAAAUCCAGAACUUUUCUGAGCUGGGGCGUCUCAUACCCCCAACAGCCUUGAGUCAUUCGGAUCUGGGCCACCUGGGAAGGCAGCUCGCUGCAGCUGAGGCAGUUCCUGAAGAUGGGCGGCACCCAGGCUGUCCUCCGGACGCACUCCGAGCAGCUGGGAUGACAAACGCUCCCCAUUCCUGAAGGGGGCCCUGCGUAGCGCGGUGGUCCACCCGUCACCAUCAUCUGGUAUACUCUCUGUGUUGAUUCUUGGAAAAGUUCCUCCAGGAUUCCGAUGGGAACGGAAGAGGAGGAAGCUUCUGGAUCAAGGGAUGCAAACCCCAGGUAGCAUCUGCUCUGGGGUCUGUCUGGUCAUCGCAGAGGCCAUUUCGUGAGGGUGAAAUACUGUUUUUGGUGUGUGGCUUUGCCUGGGAGAAGAAAGUUUUCAAGGCUUCCACUUGGCCUUCCCAAGUACAGUAGCCAUCACCCCACAAGUCAAGGAACAGAUGCGAAGCUUGUUUCAACUGCCAAGUACAUUUGGGAAACGACCCCGUGGGGGCCACUGUGAGCUGCCCGAGUCAGGACUCCAUUUUUCCAGGGACUCUGAGGUGCCCCCACUCUGCAACGUCACUUGACUUCUUAAGGUGUCACUGGCAACAAGAAUGUGGUGUAAACCAGUGCUCGAAACGUCUGACUCUCCCCCUUUCCCAGAGCACAGCCUCUCAAGUGAAGACACUGGGAGGACUUGGAGACUAACUGCCAUGACGCUUCCCCGGGGGUGGCCAGCGCGUAACCUCUCCUCGGGGAAUGGGUUCUGCAUCUGAAGACUCGAUUCACUUGGAAAAUGGCAAAGGGGUUUGACUUUUAAUGGGGGUGACUUCCCCCUCCCUCCUGACCAUUCCUCCUGGACCUGCAUACAUUGCACAGAUCGAGGCGUAGUCCUUGGUGGGUACCUCCAGGGAUACCGCAUUUCAUUAACAACCUCCGUAACCCUCUGUGGGUUGAAGCUGCCACUCCAGCCUUGCGGGGCUUUGUAACUUUAAUCCAGCUGGCUUGUGACAGUGACGCACCAGAGGUGGCCUUUGUUGGUUCGGAGUUUAGUCAUCCUACUGUAUCUGUAAGACUGGCUUAAGACUGCACCUCCUUGCAUUAGCCCAGCUGCGGAAGAGAUCCUCCGUAGCCCUUCCUAGAGAUGCUGGACCCUUUUCAAUGGUAUGCUCUCACCCGGCGCACCUCCAGGCCCGCAGCCUGUUGUCUGGCCAAAGUCCAACCACUCAGCCAGUUCUGCUUCUGAGAACCUCUUUACUGCCUUCCUCCCACAUAGCGGGAUCUGGGCAUUUCUACCUUACCUAGCACAUGCCAUCACCGUUUCCCACGAUGGGUCCUCCCCACCUCUCGGGGUCUUUGCUGGGGUGUUAAAUCCUCUGUCUUGGAAGACUCCUCCCAAUGUAUAAACGCUUUCAUCCCCAAUAUUGUGACCUCCUUCCCUUUGUCAAGCGCUCAGAGUCCAGUCCCAUGUGGACUUUUCUCGGUGCUUCUGGUCAAUGUUGGCUCGGCCUCACAGCUCCUUUGGGUAUAAUCUCUACAAGAAGCAGUCAUAGAACCCUCGGCUGAGCCAGGGGUAGCUCUGGAGCUUGGAUAACACCCACGUGUACCAGCCUGAGUGGGAGGAAGGGGCCAGGCCUUUAUUCUCCCUCUGGCCAAUCAGAGAGCAGGCACCGCCCAGAAGCGACAUGGUCUGACCUGAGCGACUCUCUUCACCUAGGAGACCCAUCUAGGGCUGACAGCUGAUGGCUGUCUGCUGGCAUCCCUCCCAGCAGCUAGGUAAUAAAAAGCCCAUCAUCCCCCCAAAUGGAUGCUUCCCCACAACCACCAAAGCACACGGAAGCUGCUGCUAAUUAACCAUCUCACCACUCUUCACUGAUUUCCUAGGAGUACCAGCCGCCCUUAAUCUCCUCUCUUUAUUAAAUGAUUC